rnacentral:misc_RNA from 1 species
UCCUCUUCAGUCCCGCUUGAAGGGCAAUUCGUGCCUUGAGUGUGUUGGUGUUCCUGUGUUGAAUGCCCAACGUGAUGGAAAUUGGCCGCUGAUGAGUCCUAAUUUUUGACUCUCACCAAUUCGCGGUGUUAGGUUGACGUGGAAGUACGGCCCAUUCUCCUUGAAUGCUUCGCCCUUUGGCGUUGCAGUCAUGGCCCAUGGGUUGCUACUAGUUCCCUCGGAUGCAGAACCUUUCAAUGGGUGGUGCAAAGUAAGUUGGCCACACAGUGUUCAUUUUCGAUCGGUGCGUACGACAGCUGUGCCCGUCUUGGCCACCUCUCUAACUAGUUUAGAUGGGGCUCAUGCGGUGCCGGCGUCGCGAAGGAAUGCUACCUGGUUGAUCCUGCCAG